rnacentral:rRNA from 1 species
UACGGGGGGGGCAAGCGUUGUUCGGAUUUACUGGGCGUAAAGGGCGCGUAGGCGGCCUCUGCAAGUCGACUGUGAAAUCUCCGGGCUUAACCCGGAAAGGUCAGCCGAUACUGCAGGGCUAGAGUGCAGAAGGGGCAACUGGAAUUCUCGGUGUAGCGGUGAAAUGCGUAGAUAUCGAGAGGAACACCUGCGGCGAAGGCGGGUUGCUGGGCUGACACUGACGCUGAGGCGCGAAAGCUAGGGGAGCGAACGGG